rnacentral:lncRNA from 1 species
GUUGAACUUUGAGACUUACUUGUGUGGGGAGAUGCCGUUGGAGUGGAUGGCUAUGGUCCCAAUGGAGGAUGAGUUUUUCUAUCUCGUUUGCAUACGAUCUGGUGGAGGAAGUUCAUAUGGUAGUGUUUGUGCUGGAAUUUUAAUCAGAUUUAGAGGAAAAAAGAAAAAAGUUUAUAUAAUAAUUUAUUUGAAAGAACUUUUGGAAUUGCGUUAAUCGCUGUGAAGAUAUGUAAAUUAGUGUCUGUUAAAAGAAUAACCAGGAGGUGGAGUCGGUGUCUCGCCUUGUUUGUCGUCAUUAACUGGUGUAGUAGUGGAUGUGUUCGUCGGAAUAAUAACUUUAUGUGGUGGCCAUUUGUGGUUGUGUAUUGGUCUGUUGGAAGUAGCUGUGAUUUAAAACUUGAUUAUUUGCUAUUACUAGGCGAGAUUGAUGCGAUUAAGUUGUAAGUUUUCUGGUUAUCAUUUAAUAAAGUUUACUUUUGAUGUUUUUUUCUUUAAUAGAAGUUUGUUAUUUAAUAUGGAACACUGGUCGGAACGUAUUAUGCGAUGGCUUGAGGCCAAUGAAAUAGACGUUCAAAUUAAAAUAAGUAUGAGACGAAAGGAUGGAAGAGUUUCAGCACGGGGUCGGACUUAUCGUGAAAACUUGGGAAGUGCCCCGGUUUUCACAAAUUGCCU